ACUCUGAUGCAGCAACGCCGCGUGAGGGAGAAGGUUUUCGGAUUGUAAACCUUUGUCCUCGGUGACGAUAAUGACGGUACCGAGGAGGAAGCUCCGGCUAACUACGUGCCAGCAGCCGCGGUAAUA
rnacentral:rRNA from 1 species